rnacentral:rRNA from 1 species
GAUGAACGCUAGCGGCAGGCUUAACACAUGCAAGUCGAGGGGCAACGCGAUGUAGCAAUACAUUGGCGGCGACCGGCGCACGGGUGCGUAACACGUAUGGAACUUACCCUUUACUGGGAGAUAGCCCGGAGAAAUCCGGAUUAAUAUCCCAUAAUAAACGAAGUGGCAUCACUUUGUUUUGAAAGCUCCGGCGGUAAAGGAUGGCCAUGCGCACGAUUAGCUAGUAGGUGAGGUAACGGCUCACCUAGGCUACGAUCGUUAGGGGGCCUGAGAGGGUUAUCCCCCACACUGGUACUGAGACACGGACCAGACUCCUACGGGAGGCAGCAGUGAGGAAUAUUGCGCAAUGGAGGCAACUCUGACGCAGCCAUGCCGCGUGCAGGAAGAAGGCGCUACGCGUUGUAAACU